rnacentral:rRNA from 1 species
UACGGAGGGUGCAAGCGUUAUCCGGAAUCAUUGGGUUUAAAGGGUCCGCAGGCGGAAAUAUAAGUCAGUGGUGAAAGCCUACAGCUCAACUGUAGAACUGCCAUUGAUACUGUAUUUCUUGAAUUUGGUCGAAGUGGGCGGAAUAUGACAUGUAGCGGUGAAAUGCUUAGAUAUGUCAUAGAACACCGAAAGCGAAGGCAGCUCACUAGUCCAAUAUUGACGCUCAGGGACGAAAGCGUGGGGAGCAAACAGG